GGUUUGGACUUUGAGCUCUGAAUACGAGGAUGUUUCAUGCUUUCCAGAUUUGCCAUAGCAACAGCAGAGCAAGGAGCUCGAAAGUGACUGAGAAUUUUAGCAGACGCAACUAAGAUGGAAAGGAAACGGAGCUCUACUUCAGAAACUGGAUCCACAAGCCAUGGCUAAUCGGGAGCUGACUUUGAUGUGUUCUUAAGUUUUCGAGGAUCUGAAACUUGCGCUGACUUCACAGAUUCCCUCUAUGAUGCCUUGCUAAAUAAGGGUAUCUAUGUUUUCUUAGACAGGAAAGGAAUCGACGUUGGUGAAGAGAUUGGCCUAAAGAUUUUCCAGGCCACUGAUGACUCUAGAAUCUGCAUUUCCAUCUUCUCCAGAGGCUAUGCCUCCGGUAGCUUGUGCUUACAUGAGCUGGGACACAUGAUGCAGUGUAGGAAAAUCAACGAACUAGACGUUAUACCCAUAUUUUAUGAUGUGGAUCCUUUCGAUGUGAAGCUUGAAAGUGAAGUAUAUAGGGAUGCAUUAACUCUGGAUGAAGAAAAAUGGGGGUCAAUGUCAUGUAGCAUUGUACCAAGGUGCCUGAGGAAGUUACUGCAAUCAAGGGAUGGGACACCAAGAACACGAGGUAUGUUAAUGCAUUCAACUCCAUUUUUCCUUUUCUCUUUGUUUCUUUUGCUUGAAUGCAGAUUAUAAUUUGAAGAGCACAGCUUUUUCUGUGUUCCAGACCAAAAAUUGUGAUGGAAUAUCACAUGGAACUCUACGCUCCAUUAUCUGAAGGCUCAAGGAUCACCUUAUCUACAUAAGCAUUAUAGUCCAUUGUCUAGAUUGAAAAGAACCAAAAAACCAUGUAUUCAUUCUUUUGUUCACUCAGCGUCAAUUUUGUAACUUCAUGUAUUGUUAGAUCUUGCAUAUAUACAAUGCCACCAAUCUUUUAAUUAA